AGGUACAUCCGUUUUCUUCAACCAGAAUGAAGGCAGUGUUUCAUCUUUGUGGCCCUCGCAUAUGAGCUUAUGUAGAAUAUGAAUUUUCCAUAAGCUGUUUGUCUGUCUACUUGGAUUCACUCAGGUUUUCAAGAUGACUCUCAAAAAGGAGUGUACUUCAAGGUGCAGGCGAAAAUCAUCGCUUAUGCUGUUAGAUAGUAGAUUAAAGAAACCCUUGAAGGUUUCUUGAGGGCCGCUGUGCUGCUGAGUUGAGCUCCAACUUGCUUCAACACACCUGCCCUGGGGUUUCUAGUAUAUCUAGUAAAAGCUUGAUUAGCUGCUUCAGGUGUGUUUGAUUAGGGUGACCGAGUUUGGACACCCCUGCAUUAGAGGGAGAGUAAAUAGAUGGCCUGAUGCCUGUAAUCAGUUGGAUGAUUAUAUACACUAGAUGCCUUGAUUCUGCAUGAAUGGAGGAUUAACCACUAGCAACUGACUCGCCUCCUGUCGGUCACUCUCUUCUAAAUACAAUUUGAAUUUUGACGAGGUAAUGCAGGUUCAUUUCAAGGAUUCUAGAAAUUGUACCAGUUCCAGUCUGGAUCCAGCCUAACUUGUGAACACCACAGAAGACAUCAAAGCUACAGAGUUUAAA